GAAUUCGCCCUUAGAGUUUGAUCCUGGCUCACGACGAACGCUGGCGGCGUGCUUAACACAUGCAAGUCGAGCGGGGACAUCGUCAGAAGGUCUUCCGAUUGGAAGACGUUGUUCUAGCGGCGGACGGGUGAGUAACGCGUGAACAAUCUGUCCCGGACAGGGGGAUAACACUUGGAAACAGGUGCUAAUACCGCAUAAGACCACGGUUUCGCGUGGAGCUGGGGUAAAAGGAGCAAUCCGGUCCGGGGUGAGUUCGCGUCCGAUUAGCUAGUUGGCGAGGUAACGGCCCACCAAGGCGACGAUCGGUAGCCGACCUGAGAGGGUGAUCGGCCACAUUGGAACUGAGAGACGGUCCAAACUCCUACGGGAGGCAGCAGUGGGGAAUAUUGGGCAAUGGGCGAAAGCCUGACCCAGCAACGCCGCGUGAGUGAAGAAGGCUUUCGGGUUGUAAAGCUCUGUUGUUGAGGACGAAGGAAGUGACGGUACUCAACAAGGAAGCCCCGGCUAACUACGUGCCAGCAGCCGCGGUAAUACGUAGGGGGCGAGCGUUGUCCGGAAUGACUGGGCGUAAAGGGCGUGUAGGCGGCCGAUUAAGUCUGGAGUGAAAGUCCUGCUUUCAAGGUGGGAAUUGCUUUGGAGACUGGUUGGCUUGAGUGCGGAAGAGGUAAGUGGAAUUCCCAGUGUAGCGGUGAAAUGCGUAGAGAUUGGGAGGAACACCAGUGGCGAAGGCGACUUACUGGGCCGUAACUGACGCUGAGGCGCGAAAGCGUGGGGAGCGAACAGGAAAAGAUACCCUGGUAGCCCACGCUGUAA
rnacentral:rRNA from 1 species